ACUGAACGCUGGCGGCAUGCUUUACACAUGCAAGUCGAACGGCAGCGCGGGCUUCGGCCUGGCGGCGAGUGGCGAACGGGUGAGUAAUACAUCGGAACGUGCCCAGUAGUGGGGGAUAGCUCGGCGAAAGCCGGAUUAAUACCGCAUACGACCUGAGGGUGAAAGCGGGGGAUCUUCGGACCUCGCGCUAUUGGAUCGGCCGAUGGCAGAUUAGCUAGUUGUUGGGGUAAAGGCCCACCAAGGCGACGAUCUGUAGCUGGUCUGAGAGGACGACCAGCCACACUGGGACUGAGACACGGCCCAGACUCCUACGGGAGGCAGCGGUGGGGAAUUUUGGACAAUGGGCGAAAGCCUGAUCCAGCAAUGCCGCGUGUGUGAUGAAGGCCUUCGGGUUGUAAAGCACUUUUGGCGGGAACGAGAAGGACUGUGCCAAUACCACGAUUAGAUGACAGUACCCGCAGAAUAAGCACCGGCUAACUACGUG
rnacentral:rRNA from 1 species